UAGCUCAGUUGGUAGAGCAGUUGACUUUUAAUCAAUUGGUCGCUGGUUCGAAUCCAGC
rnacentral:tRNA from 1 species